rnacentral:rRNA from 1 species
CUACGGGAUGCUGCAGUGGGGAAUAUUGCACAAUGGGCGCAAGCCUGAUGCAGCCAUGCCGCGUGUAUGAAGAAGGCCUUCGGGUUGUAAAGUACUUUCAGCGGGGAGGAAGGGAGUAAAGUUAAUACCUUUGCUCAUUGACGUUACCCGCAGAAGAAGCACCGGCUAAGUCCGUGCCAGCAGCCGCGGUAAUACGGAGGGUGCAAGCGUUAAUCGGAAUUACUGGGCGUAAAGCGCACGCAGGCGGUUUGUUAAGUCAGAUGUGAAAUCCCCGGGCUCAACCUGGGAACUGCAUCUGAUACUGGCAAGCUUGAGUCUUGUAGAGGGGGGUAGAAGUCCAGGUGUAGCGGUGAAAUGCGUAGAGAUCUGGAGGAAUACCGGUGGCGAAGGCGGCCCCCUGGACGAAGACUGACGCUCAGGUGCGAAAGCGUGGGGAGCAAACAGGAUUAGAUACCCCAGUAGUC